rnacentral:rRNA from 1 species
GACGAACGCUGGCGGCGUGCCUAAUACAUGCAAGUAGAACGCUGAAGGAGGAGCUUGCUCUUCUUGAUGAUUUGCGAACGGGUGAGUAACGCGUAGGUAACCUGCCCCUUAGCGGGGGAUAACUCUUGGAAACGAUAGCUCAUAUCCCAUAAGAGUAGAUGUUGCAUGACAUUCACUUAAAAGGUGCAAUUGCAUUGCUACCAGAUGGACCUUCGUUGUAUUAGCUAGUUGUUGGGGUAACGGCUUACCAAGGCGACGAUACAUAGCCGACCUGAGAGGGUGAUCGGCCACACUGGGACUGAGACACGGCCCAGACUCCUACGGGAGGCAGCAGUAGGGAAUCUUCGGCAAUGGACGGAAGUCUGACCGGGCAACGCCGCGUGAGUGAAGAAGGUUUUCGGAUCGUAAAGCUCUGUUGUAAGAGAAGAAAGAGUGUGAGAGUGGAAAGUUCACACUGUGACGGUAUCUGACCAGAAAGCGACGGCUAACUACGUG